rnacentral:rRNA from 2 species
UGAGUGGCGAACGGGUGAGUAACACGUGAGUAACCUGCCCUCUUCUUUGGGAUAACGCCCGGAAACGGGUGCUAAUACUGGAUAUUCACUGAUCUUCGCAUGGGGGUUGGUGGAAAGGUUUGUUCUGGUGGGGGAUGGGCUCGCGGCCUAUCAGCUUGUUGGUGGGGUGAUGGCCUACCAAGGCUUUGACGGGUAGCCGGCCUGAGAGGGUGACCGGUCACAUUGGGACUGAGAUACGGCCCAG